UAGGGAAUUGUUCGCAAUGGGCGCAAGCCUGACGACGCAACGCCGCGUGGAGGAUGAAGGUCUUCGGCUUGUAAACUCCUGUCGUGUGGGACGAACAUUCUUCGGGCUAAUCACCGAGGGACUGACGGUCCCACGCAAGGAAGCCCCGGCUAACUCUGUGCCAGCAGCCGCGGUAAUACAGAGGGGGCGAGCGUUGUUCGGAAUUACUGGGCGUAAAGGGCGCGUAGGCGGCCAACUAAGUCAGACGUGAAAUCCCUCGGCUCAACCGGGGAACUGCGUCUGAUACUGGAUGGCUUGAAUUCGGGAGAGGGAUGCGGAAUUCCAGGUGUAGCGGUGAAAUGCGUAGAUAUCUGGAGGAACACCGGUGGCGAAGGCGGCAUCCUGGACCGAGAUUGACGCUGAUGCGCGAAAGCCAGGGGAGCAAAC
rnacentral:rRNA from 1 species